rnacentral:misc_RNA from 1 species
GGUGACACUCCCCUUGUUCCACCUAAGUACCAUUUCUUCAUCAUCUCUACAACAUUUGCAUUUUCCACUUCAAUUUCCAAGUCUUCCUUACCUUCUAUCGCGAACGAUAUCUUUGCACUCCCAGAAGCACCUGGAAAAUAAUAUGUUAUUACUGAAUCUUUCUUGAAAUACUUAGACUGGAAAAAUUCAACGAUUUUUUCGAGUGCUUCUUCCUCUUCUUCUUCAUACUUAUCGACUUCUGCUAAGCGAUCGCGUAUAGCACUCUCUAGCUGCACACCAUACUGUGAACCUUUGAUCUCUUUAAUCACUACUACUCUCAAAAACUUGUCAACUGGAGCAUUCACAAUAGCCUCAAAGAAUUCAUCAUUUUCAGUUAGUUCUGCCCCUGUUUUGCCCUUCCAUUGUUGCAAAUGAGUCACAAUUUCUGGAUCCAAGUAAACUCCAAUUGCUGUGAAUUUAAUUUGGAGAAAAUGUAUCUCUAUAUCUGUUAUUCCAUGGCCCAUCAAAGGUAAAGGCUUAUUAUUCACCAUGAAUUGUGAAGGAAAAGGAAUUUCAUCCACCAUCACUUCAUUCUUUACCAUCUUGAACUUGAUUGGGAAAACUUAGAGAAUUUGAAAGUGGACUUGAAAAAAAU